GAAACCAGGUUUCUCUUCUAAUAAAUCUUUCGCCUUUUACUAAAGAUUUCCGUGUAGAGGAACGACCAUGACUUUCAUGUGAGUUAAUAAAGCACCUUCCACUGCUU
ensembl:snRNA U5 U5 spliceosomal RNA